AAACUCCGUCUCUACCAAAAAUACAAAAAUUAGCCGGGCGUGGUGGCGGGUGCCUGAGUCCCAGCUACUCAGGAGCUGAAGCAGCAGAAUCGCUUGAACCCAGGUGACAGAGGUUACAGUGAGCUGAGAUCAUGACACUGCACUCCAGCCUGGGUGACAGAGCGAGACUCCAUCUCAAUCAAUCAAUCAAUAAAGUGAAAAAGCAAGUUAUGUUCUGGGAGAAUACACUUAUAAAACACAUAUUUCACAAAAGACUUACAUCCAGAAUAUAUAAAGAACUUUCAGCAACUUAAUAAAAAGACAAACAACUCACUUUAAAAGUGAGAAAAAGAUGGGAACAGAUACUUCAUAAAGAAGAUAUAUGAAUGGCAAAUGAAAAUGUACUCAAUAAAACUGGUCAUCAGAGAAAUUCCAAUUAAAAUCACCACAUACUUAAAAGAGUGGUUAAGUUGGUUUUGUUGUUGUUGUUGUUUUGUUUUGUUUGUCUUUUAGAGAGGAUCUCAGUCUGUCACCCAGGCUGGAGUGCAGUGGGGCAAACGGCUCACUGUAGCUUCAACCCCCUGGGCUCAAGUGCUUCUCCUGCCUCAGCCUCCCGAAUAGCUCAGACCACAGGUGAGCAUCCCCACAUCCAGCCAAUUUUUAUUUUUUUUGUAGACUCAGAAUCUCUCCACGUUGUCCAGAUGGUCUUGAACUCCUGGGCUCAAGUCAUCCUCCUGGCUUGGCCACCUAAAGUGCUGGGAUUAGAGGCAUGAGCCACUGCACCCAGCUAAAUUUAAAAAUACUAACAAUAACAAAUGUUGACAAAAAUGUGGAGCAUCUGAAACCCACACAUUACUGGUAGGAAUGAAAGAGGGUAAAUUCCCUUUGGAAAAGAGUUUGAGAAUCUCUCAAAGGGUUAAACGUACACUUAUUACAUGACUCAGCAAUUCUACUUCUGGCAAUUUCCCAAGAGAAAUAAGGAUAUGUCAGCAAAAAGAUUUGUACCCAAAUGCCCAUGACAGUUUCAUUUGUAAUAGAUCCAAAUUGUCAAUAAUCCAAAUGUCGAUCGACAGGAUAAUGAAUAAUCAAACUGUGACAUAUCCAUACAAUGGGAUACUACUUGACAAUAUAAAAGAACAAAAGACUUAUAUACACAACACCAUGGAUAAAUCUGGAAAACAUUAUGCUGAAAGAAGACAACACAAAACAAUACAUUCUAUAUUAUUCUGUUUUCAUGAAAUUCUAUGCCAGACAAAACUAAUCUAUAGUGACAAAAAGAUCAGUACGGGGUGUAUUGACUGCAAGGAGGUGCAGGGAAAUUUUCAUGGUAAUAGAUACAUUCUAUAUCUUGAUUGCAUUGGUGGUUAUAUUAUAUAUAUAUAUAUAGUCAAAACUCAUUGAACUAUUUUUUUAUAAUGAUUAGGUAUCAAUAAAGUUAAUUUUUGCCCGGGCAUGGUGGCUUACACCUGUAAUCCCAGCACUGUAGGAGGCCGAGGAAGGCGGAUCACUUGAGGUCAGGAGUUCAAGACCAGCCUAGCCAACAUGGUGAAAGCCUGUCUCUACUAAAAAUACACAAAUUAGCUGGGCGAGGUGGCACAUGCCUGUAAUCCCAGCUACUCAGGAAGCUGAGGUAGGAGAAUCACUUGAAGCCAGGAGGUGGAGGCGGAGGUUUCGGUGAGCCAAGAUUGUACCACUGCACUCCAGCCUGGAUGACAGAACGAAACACCGUCUCAAAAAAAAAAAAAGUUAAUUUUUGAAAAAUAAUAAAGUGAAGAAAACAUUAAAUGAAAGAGACUUUGGGCACUCAUAAAGACGUUUGUUUAUGAAGUGACUGUAGUAUUAUUAAGGCCAACUUAUCAAGUACUUUGUCACUGUAAACAGAAUAGCAAGCAGCCUUAGGGAAUGACAAUAGCUUAGUUCAUGGGAAUUUGCAUUUCAUUUCAACAAAAGAAUUAUGGACAUGAUGAUAUUAUGUUUAUUAGACAAAAACAAUAUAAUGGUUAAGAUUUCAGCCCAUGGAGUCAGACUGAGCCAAAUUCAAAUUACUACAGGUUGAGUAUCCCUCAUCCCAAACGCUUGGGACCAGAAGUGUUUUGGAUUCAGGAUUUUUUCAGAUUUUGGAAUAUUUGCAUAUAUAUAAUGAGAUAUCUUGGGGACGAGACCCAUGUGUAAACAGGAAAUUCAUUUAUGUGUCAUAUACACUAUAUUAAGGAAGGUAUUAAGGAAGACCUAAAUAAAUGGAGGUAACUUUAUUUUUCCCUUGGGGAUGCUGAAAAAACUGUUGUGCACCUGUAUUUUGACUGUGACCCAUCACAUGUAGCAGGUGUGGAAUUUUCUACUUGUGGUAUCAUGUGGGCUUUCAAAAAUUUCAGAUUUUGGAACAUUUUAGAUUUAGAAUUUUUGGAUUAGGGAUGCUCAACCUGUAUCUCUGUAUCCUUGGACAAAUUGCUAAACAUUAAUAUAUCCAUUCACUUUUCUGUGAAAUCAGGAUGCCAACAUCAUCUAUGAUAUAGGAUUGUUUUUAAAAAGUACUCAGUGUUUUCCAUGACAUAUAAUAGUUUAAUAAAUGUUAGCCAUUAUUCUUAAGUUAUAGCCAUGGCUCUUCCCAGUACCCCUGUGAGGGAAACAGGGAUGGUACUAUAAUCUCCAGUCACCGCUGGAAAUCAAGAUAGGAUGGUAAAAUAUUAUUACUCUCCUCAGCAUCAUGAGCCCUUUUACAGCAGAGCUGGAAUCAGUCACUAGAGCUCCAGAAUUCUAUUUCUAUACUCUUGGCAUUACACCAUUCUUUAUUUCCACUUGCUAUAAAAUGUCAGGGCACAAGAAAGAGGACAGGGCCACUGAGGCAGACAUCCUAUGGUUAUAGCUUAGUAAAGAUUUAAUCUGAAGGCCAGACAGGUUCCAGGAAGUGCUGAAAGAUUAUUCCAGGGCAGUGCCACUCAGUGUGGUCCACAAGCUGAACUGUUUCUGUUUCACAGGGAAAUAAGAAUAAAAAUUGAGAAUAUGCGUUUAGAAACUUUUAUAGCAAUUUGACACAGUGAUUUUAUUCUUUUUCUUUUUGUUUUUUAGAAAUGGGGUCUCACUGUUGCCCAGGCUGGAAUGCGGUGGCUACUCACAGACACAAUCCCACUACUGAUCAGCACUGGAGUUUUGACCUGCUCCACUUCUGACCUGGGCAAGUUCACCCCUUCUUAGGCAACCUAUGGUCCCCCACUCCUGGGAGGUGGGAGGUCACUAUAUUGAUUAAGAAUUUAGCGUGGAGACCCAAUCAGCAUAGAGCACUAUAGCCCAGAACUACUGGACUCAAGUGAUCCUCCUGCCUCAGCCUCCUGAGUAGCUGGGUCUGUAGGCACAGACUAGCAUGCCUGACAACAUCGUGAUUUUAUAUCUGUUGAAUUUAAAAAUAAAAAUUGUGUUUGUAUUGUCUGUGUUAUUUUUAACCAUUUAUUUUUCCAGAAACUCAAAUUUUAUUUUAUUUUACAAAAGUAUCAGUCUGUGACAGAUUUGAAAAUAAACAAACUAGUCAAGGGAAAAGACACCCUUGAGUCUUGAGAAUGAAUGGGCAAGAGUGGAGAAAAGAAGGUGGAGAGAAGGGUGAUAGUUCUUGAAAACCAGGCAGUUCCUUUACAGAAUGGAUAACGGAUGCAUAGGACCAUCUGAGUUAUUCACUGAAUUACCAAAUUACUAUCCAAACUAAAUUUAUUCAAGACAGACCUAAAAAGAGACAUCACGGUGUGGGGAAGGUAGUAAGAUUAGUAAGAACUACAAGCACUUCCUUUUCCUGCUUUUAGUCGUCUCAGCUCUACAGCUACUGUUUUGUUUUGUUUGUUUGGCUUUUUGUUUUUUCAUUUUGGGAUCUGUCAGUGUUAGCAUCUACAGCUACUGUUCUCCUCUCCAAUUUCCCUCUCCUUUCCAAGGACCAUGGUGAUUCCCAUCAGAUGUUAAAGACUGGCUUAGCCCACACUAACGAGAGGGAAUCCCCAAAUAGUGGAGACUUACUACUGGAAAGUCCUCUAGAGGUCUUUUUGAUCCAGAUGGGCAAAAUGAGAAUCAGACAGGAAAAGGGACUUGUCUAAAGCCACCUGGCCUGUUACCAGCAGAUACCAGGCUUUUACUCCUUGAUAACCUGGGUAAAUGGGAGAUGAGCGAGCUUUUUUCGUCAAUAUCUCCAUCGUUUAUUCUAUCUGAUAGAUUCACUUAGGUUAACAAGGAAAUGUGCAGGGUCACCAUGUUGUACCACUCCAGGCAGCACCAGUCAGAGUGAUCUGUGUAUAGGAGUUGCGCAAUACAACAGCCCAGGUAGACACCACUUAGGAGAAAAGAGGGCUGUUGUCUGUUUACAUGUUUGUUAGAUUUUAGAAAGGAAAUCUGAUUAAACUAACCUAUAUUAACAGGAAACAAAAAUAACCUCACUGAGCUGCUCAGAAGUGCUAAGUACUGCAUUAGACAUUGGCUAUCCCAUUGAACUCUAACUAUACAUCUUCAGGGUGGCUAUUUUUUUUUUUUUUUUUUUUUGCCAGUGCCUACUAUAUUGCAAGUCAUCAUGGUGGAGUGUUGGGAAAAGUUUUCAAUUAGCAAUAAUCACACCUCGGAUAAACCUCACUGGCUACAAUACCACCACUGUGCAAAGCUAGGGUUGAUAUUCUUAUCCCCGUUUGAUAAAUAAGCUGAGGUUCAAAAAAGUUAUGUGACCGAGUUCACAUUGCUAAGAGUGGCAGAGUUAGGAAUUGAAUCUAAAAAUCUAUCUGAUAUCCAAAUUCAAGCUCUUUCCAUAACAUUAUGGCAGGAAUUUAGGAGACUUCCUUAAAAUACUGUAUUCCUACCUCCUAUAUAUGAAACAGGCAGUGGGAGAAAAAAGGUAUGAAGUGUGCAUCCUCAUCUGGACAAUUCCCAGAAUACCAGCAUUGAGUGGCCUUUAUUCAGAAAAGGAAAAGGGUCUUGUGGUUUUUUUUUUUUUUUUUUGAUCUAUGAGUCUAUAGAGGGGUAUCACAGAAGCUUCCUGAAUGACCCUGUUCCAUUGUUUCAAUCUUUUUCCAGAAUGGCAUGGUUUUAGAAUAAUAUUCAUUAUAGCUACUUAAUUAAAACCAUUUAUUUAUUUAUUUAUUUAUUUAUUGAGACCAAGUCUCGCUCUAUCACCCUGGCUGGAGUGCAGUGGUGCAAUCUCAGCUCACUGCAACCUGUGCCUCCUGGGUUCAAGAGACUCUCGUGCUUCGGCCUCCUGAGUAGCUGGGAUUACAGGUGCCCACCACCACGCCCAGCUAAUUUUUGUAUUUUUAGUAGACACAGGGUUUCAUCAUGUUGCCCAGGCUGGUCUUGAACUCCUGACCUCAAGUGAUCUUCCUGCCUUGGCCUCCCAAAGUUUUGGGAUUACAAGCGUGAGCCACCACGCCUGGCUGAAACCAUUUAUUUCUGAUUAAACAAUGUGGUACUGUCAUCCAGUUGUAUAAACUUGUGCCAGGCUUUCACAGUGUGUUGCUUGUGCAAUGUGGUCAUCCACUGACAUUUUUUAAAAUCUAGAGGUAAAACCACUGCUUUUAGGGUGCGGUGGGGGGAGUUAAAAAUGGAGCUUAAAACUCUAUUAAUCUUGCCAUUUUGUGUGUAGUUGUUGAAUUUUUGCUUGUUACACUAUUUAUUGUGUCUACCUUGCUACUAAUGUUUGACAUUCUGAUACUAUGCAAAGCAGAUGGUCCUGGUUAGAUGAUCCUGAAUCAUCCAUGGAAUGAUGAGGAAGAGAGGAGGGGAUCUCUCAGCCUGAAUGUAUGACAUAUCCCACAGAAACCCCUGGAUAUGUCUAUGCUGAUUUGCUACAACCACUCACAACCAGGCCUUCUGGCCAUAAAAGGAUAAAAGCCUACUAGUGGUGACCUUGCCCAUCGCCAAGGACUAAGAGCCAGUGACAGAUACCACUUUCUGGCGGAGACCGUAAGACCACUGCAAGCUUUGCCAUGCUUUCACCACUGCCCAAGGCGACCUGCAAUUCUUCAUAUUGGCUCCUCCAGCAGACUGGGUCCCUGAGUGAGAAAGAACACAAGUGGAGCCCCAUCCACCAUGUGAGGGAAUUGGAGUCGUUCACUAAAAAAGUCCUUUGUU